rnacentral:lncRNA from 10 species
GGGCGCAGUGGCUCACCAGUUCAUUCUUUCUUCAUUUCUAAGGAGGAAAGGAGACUUCUCUCUCCAAACAUGAACUCCAUCUGUUUGCCUGACCAAGUUUACACUGUUAUAGUAGAGAAUAAUAGAAAAACAAGAGGCCCAAUCAUUUCUCAAAACCUGCAAAUCUAACUCUCCUGCCACAACAUCUUUGCUUUCCAUGGGCCUGUUCUAAAACACUCCCCUCUUCUCUUCCACUUUGAAUCCAGGUUUCUCACCCUAAGCACCUCUCCUUUUCUAGCCUCUCAACAUAUCCACUUUCCAGUACCAACCACUUUGCACCUCUUCAUAGGCUUUCUCCUCCCUGACAGGGUAUUCCCACACCCAGAGCAGGGCCCUGCACAGAGGAGACACCAAAGACUCCAGGACUCAAGGCUGCUGGAUUCCCCUUAAUAACAGCAAACA